UACGAGGGGUGCAAGCGUUGCUCGGAAUUAUUGGGCGUAAAGGGCAGGUAGGUGGUCUUAUUUGUCUUAUGUGAAAUCCUUGGGCUUAAUCUAAGAAGUGCGUAAGAAACGGUAAGACUAGAGUCCCAGAGAGGCUUGUGGAAUUCCCGGUGUAGCGGUGAAAUGCGUAGAGAUCGGGAGGAACACCAGAGGCGAAGGCGGCAAGCUGGAUGGGCACUGACACUCAACUGCGAAAGCGUGGGGAGCAAACAGG
rnacentral:rRNA from 1 species